rnacentral:rRNA from 1 species
AUGAACGCUGGCGGCGUGCCUAAUACAUGCCAGUCGAGCGAACAGAUGAGGAGCUUGCUCCUCUGACGUUAGCGGCGGACGGGUGAGUAACACGUGGAUAACCUACCUAUAAGACUGGGAUAACUUCGGGAAACCGGAGCUAAUACCGGAUAAUAUAUUGAACCGCAUGGUUCAAUAGUGAAAGACGGUUUUGCUGUCACUUAUAGAUGGAUCCGCGCCGCAUUAGCUAGUUGGUAAGGUAACGGCUUACCAAGGCGACGAUGCGUAGCCGACCUGAGAGGGUGAUCGGCCACAAUGGAACUGAGACACGGUCCAGACUCCUACGGGAGGCAGCAGUAGGGAAUCUUCCGCAAUGGGCGAAAGCCUGACGGAGCAACGCCGCGUGAGUGAUGAAGGUCUUCGGAUCGUAAAACUCUGUUAUUAGGGAAGAACAAAUGUGUAAGUAACUAUGCACGUCUUGACGGUACCUAAUCAGAAAGCCACGGCUAACUACGU